rnacentral:piRNA from 1 species
CUGGAAGGUAUUGGGAAGUUCCUAAGAGA